CCUACGGGAGGCUGCAGUGAGGAAUAUUGGUCAAUGGACGAGAGUCUGAACCAGCCAAGUAGCGUGAAGGAUGACUGCCCUAUGGGUUGUAAACUUCUUUUAUAUGGGAAUAAAAUGUUCCACGUGUGGGAUUUUGUAUGUACCAUAUGAAUAAGGAUCGGCUAACUCCGUGCCAGCAGCCGCGGUAAUACGGAGGAUCCGAGCGUUAUCCGGAUUUAUUGGGUUUAAAGGGAGCGUAGGUGGAUUGUUAAGUCAGUUGUGAAAGUUUGCGGCUCAACCGUAAAAUUGCAGUUGAAACUGGCAGUCUUGAGUACAGUAGUGGUGGGCGGAAUUCGUGGUGUAGCGGUGAAAUGCUUAGAUAUCACGAAGAACUCCGAUUGCGAAGGCAGUUCACUGGACUGCAACUGACACUGAGGCUCGAAAGUGUGGGUAUCAAACAGGAUUAGAUACCCGUGUAGUC
rnacentral:rRNA from 1 species